rnacentral:rRNA from 1 species
GACGAACGCUGGCGGCGUGCCUAAUACAUGCAAGUAGAACGCACAGUUUAUACCGUAGCUUGCUACACCAUAGACUGUGAGUUGCGAACGGGUGAGUAACGCGUAGGUAACCUGCCUGGUAGCGGGGGAUAACUAUUGGAAACGAUAGCUAAUACCGCAUAAUAUUAAUUAUUGCAUGAUAAUUAAUUGAAAGGUGCAAUUGCACCACUACCAGAUGGACCUGCGUUGUAUUAGCUAGUAGGUGAGGUAACGGCUCACCUAGGCGACGAUACAUAGCCGACCUGAGAGGGUGAUCGGCCACACUGGGACUGAGACACGGCCCAGACUCCUACGGGAGGCAGCAGUAGGGAAUCUUCGGCAAUAGACGAAAGUCUGACCGAGCAACGCCGCGUGAGUGAAGAAGGGUUUCGGAUCGUAAAGCUCUGUUGUAAGAGAAGAACGGGUGUGAGAGUGGAAAGUUCACACUGUGACGGUAGCUUACCAGAAAGGGACGGCUAACUACGUG